AUUGAACGCUGGCGGCAUGCCUUACACAUGCAAGUCGAACGGUAACGGGCCUUCGGGUGCCGACGAGUGGCGAACGGGUGAGUAAUACAUCGGAACGUGCCCGAUCGUGGGGGAUAACGAGGCGAAAGCUUUGCUAAUACCGCAUACGAUCUACGGAUGAAAGCAGGGGACCGCAAGGCCUUGCGCGGACGGAGCGGCCGAUGGCAGAUUAGGUAGUUGGUGGGAUAAAAGCUUACCAAGCCGACGAUCCGUAGCUGGUCUGAGAGGAUGAUCAGCCACACUGGGACUGAGACACGGCCCAGACUCCUACGGGAGGCAGCAGUGGGGAAUUUUGGACAAUGGGCGCAAGCCUGAUCCAGCCAUGCCGCGUGCAGGAUGAAGGCCUUCGGGUUGUAAACUGCUUUUGUACGGAACGAAAAGCCUUCUUUUAAUGCAGGAGGGUCAUGACGGUACCGUAAGAAUAAGCACCGGCUAACUACGUG
rnacentral:rRNA from 1 species